GACGAACGCUGGCGGCGUGCCUAAUACAUGCAAGUAGAACGCUGAAGAGAGGAGCUUGCUCUUCUUGGAUGAGUUGCGAACGGGUGAGUAACGCGUAGGUAACCUGCCUUGUAGCGGGGGAUAACUAUUGGAAACGAUAGCUAAUACCGCAUAACAAUGGAUGACACAUGUCAUUUAUUUGAAAGGGGCAAUUGCUCCACUACAAGAUGGACCUGCGUUGUAUUAGCUAGUAGGUGAGGUAAUGGCUCACCUAGGCGACGAUACAUAGCCGACCUGAGAGGGUGAUCGGCCACACUGGGACUGAGACACGGCCCAGACUCCUACGGGAGGCAGCAGUAGGGAAUCUUCGGCAAUGGGGGCAACCCUGACCGAGCAACGCCGCGUGAGUGAAGAAGGUUUUCGGAUCGUAAAGCUCUGUUGUAAGUCAAGAACGGGUGUGAGAGUGGAAAGUUCACACUGUGACGGUAGCUGACCAGAAAGGGACGGCUAACUACGUG
rnacentral:rRNA from 1 species